GGCCUUGUACCGAAAUUUGAAACCAUUAUUAUUAUUAUUAUUAUUAUUAUUAUUAUGAUAAUGAUGAUGAUAAUGAUGAUAAUGAUGAUGAUGAUGAUCAUCAUCAUCAUCAAGGUGGUGGGCUGGUAGAGUCAUUAAUAUAUUGGACAAAACUCUUAACGACAUUUCGUCCAUUUUUACAUUCUGAGUUCAAAUUCCACUGGGGUCCAUUUUGUCUUUCAACGUUUCGGAGGUCAAUAAAUUAAGUACCAGUUACACACUGGGGUCGAUGUAAUCGACUUAAUCCCUUCCCUUCCCCUCCAAAUUUGGGGCCUUGUGCUUCCAGUAGAAAGAAUUAUUAUUAUCAUCAUCAUCAUUAUUAUUAUUAUUAUUAUUAUUAUUAUUAUUAUUAUUAGUACUUCUUGUAUUUCUUUCAACUUUUUAUGUUGCAGAGUUGGUGAAAAAGAAUUACCAACCAAAUAUUAGAAAUCAAUUUGUUUGUUUGUUCCCGCACACCAAAUUUCUGGCUUUAUGUCUGUGUAAAAAUUAUUUAGUCCCAGUAUGGUUACAAACUAAACAAAUUGUAUUUAGCUUCAUCUAAUUUUGUUUUUUAUCUUCAAAUCCCACAAGGGUUGAUUGUACUUUUUUCUUUUACCCUUUUAAGAUUAGUAUAACUUGCUGGAGUUAGAUUGGUUGAGCAUACACUGACAAACAUGUGCUCACAGUAGUAACAUUUUGUCUGUCUUUAUGUUUUGAGUUCAAAUUCUGCUAAGGUUGGCUUUGACUUCUACCCUUUUAGUGUUGAUAAAAGAAGUACCUGUUGAACGCUGGGGUCAAUGUAAUUGACUUACCCUGUUCCCCCUAAAAUCAGACCUUGUGCCUAUAAUACAAGCGGUUAUUAUUAUCAAGGGCAGACAGUGAAAUGACAGAAUCAGUAGAGCCGCAGACAAUGCCCAGCAAUAUUUAAUUCAACUUUCUACAUUUUGAGUUUCCCAUUGCAACCAAAUUUGUCUUUCACCCUUCUUGGGGUGAGGUAGGGAUCUGUAAAAUAAAAUACCUGUCAAGUACUAGAGUACAUUUUCUUUGUACUUCUCACAACUUUUUGGCAUUGUGCCUAUAUUACAGAUUAUUAAUCUUAUACAGAUUAUUAAUAUUAUCAUUUAUAUUUAUAAUAUUAUCAUAUUCAUAUUAUUAACAUUACAAGGGUGACAGAUUGGCAGAUUGUAAGAGCAUCAAGUUGUACAGUUUGUUCUGAUGCUCUGUGUUCUGAGUUCAAAACCUAUCAACAUCAACUUUGUCUUUCAUCUUUCCAAUACUAGUCAAACCAUGGGGGUUGAACUAAUCAACUAAUCCCUGCCCUUAAAUCUGAGGUCUUGUGCCCGUAUUCGGCAUUUCACCCUACUUUAUGUUCUGAGUUCAAAUUCCACCAAGGUCAGCUUUACCUUUCAUCCUUUUGGGGGGGUCGAUGAAAUAAAGACCAGUUGAGCACUAGGGAGUCAAUGUAAACGACUAGUCCCAUCCUCUCUCCUCCAAAAUUUGAGGCCUUGUGCUUAGAGUUGAAAGGACUACUACUACUACUAUCAUCACUAGGGUUUGUAGAGGAGAAGAAACUGUAGCAUUGGGGAGAGAAUGUAUUGUGAUGCACAUUUGUUCAAUGUUCAAAUUCUGCUAGAGUUGAUUAAAAUAUACCUAGUAAUAUAUACUGGUCUUGAUUCCAUGAACCAAAGUCUCUCUCUUUCUCUCUCUCUUUCCCCCCUCUCUCUCUCCCUCCCUCUCUGCCAGAUUACAGCUUUGUGCCACUGUGAGAAACCAUUUAUUACUAACAUCACGAUCAUUAUUUCUGUUACAGAGGUUUCCAAACAUAAAUUAUGAGAGCUAAUGUGUGUCUGUCAGUCUUUGACUGUAUCUGUCUGUCUGUUAGUCUGUAUCAUGCUGUGUUUGUGUAUGUAUGUGUGUAUGUAUAUAUAUGUGUGUGUGUAUAUACAUGUAUGUAUGUAUGUAUGUAUGUAUGUACGUACGUACAUAUAAGGCUGAGGUAAAAUAUCUCAAAUGAUCAUUCAACAUACUAAAUACAUAUAUGAUAGAAGGAAGUGGGGGGGGGGUCUUACGUACAUAAUAUAAACGAGUUGGAAAAACCUUGAGCAGUUGAAAUUAUCCAAGUAAUUCGUAGACAAAAUCUCCCGCCAGAAGUGAAAAAAGAAAAAAAAAAAGAAAACGAAGCUGAACGAGUCACAAGGCAAGGGAGAUAACUUCAUUAAAAACGUUUGACUAAAGUUUUUGGUUACUA
rnacentral:lncRNA from 1 species